AACGAACGCUGGCGGCAUGCCUAACACAUGCAAGUCGAACGAACCCUUCGGGGUUAGUGGCGCACGGGUGCGUAACACGUGGAAUCUGCCCUUUGCUUCGGAAUAACAGUUAGAAAUGACUGCUAAUACCGGAUGAUGUCGUAAGACCAAAGAUUUAUCGGCAAAGGAUGAGCCCGCGUAGGAUUAGGUAGUUGGUGGGGGUAAAGGCCUACCAAGCCGACGAUCCUUAGCUGGUCUGAGAGGACGAUCAGCCACACUGGGACUGAGACACGGCCCAGACUCCUACGGGAGGCAGCAGUGGGGAAUAUUGGACAAUGGGCGAAAGCCUGAUCCAGCAAUGCCGCGUGAGUGAUGAAGGCC
rnacentral:rRNA from 1 species